rnacentral:rRNA from 1 species
GACGAACGCUGGCGGCGUGCUUAACACAUGCAAGUCGAACGGAAAGGCCCUUCGGGGUACUCGAGUGGCGAACGGGUGAGUAACACGUGGGUGAUCUGCCCUGCACUUUGGGAUAAGCCUGGGAAACUGGGUCUAAUACCGAAUAGGACCACGCGCUUCAUGGUGUGUGGUGGAAAGCUUUUGCGGUGUGGGAUGGGCCCGCGGCCUAUCAGCUUGUUGGUGGGGUAAUGGCCUACCAAGGCGACGACGGGUAGCCGGCCUGAGAGGGUGACCGGCCACACUGGGACUGAGAUACGGCCCAGACUCCUACGGGAGGCAGCAGUGGGGAAUAUUGCACAAUGGGCGCAAGCCUGAUGCAGCGACGCCGCGUGAGGGAUGACGGCCUUCGGGUUGUAAACCUCUUUCACCAGGGACGAAGCGUAAGUGACGGUACCUGGAGAAGAAGCACCGGCCAACUACGU